UACGAAGGUUGCAAGCGUUAAUCGGAAUUACUGGGCGUAAAGCGUGCGCAGGCGGUUGGUUAAGUCAGAUGUGAAAUCCCCGGGCUCAACCUGGGAACUGCAUUUGUGACUGCAAGGCUAGAGUACGGCAGAGGGGGAUGGAAUUCCGCGUGUAGCAGUGAAAUGCGUAGAUAUGCGGAGGAACACCAAUGGCGAAGGCAAUCCCCUGGGCCUGUACUGACGCUCAUGCACGAAAGCGUGGGGAGCAAACAGG
rnacentral:rRNA from 1 species